rnacentral:rRNA from 1 species
AAGCUCGUAGUUGAAUUUCGGACCUGGCUGGGCGGUCGGCUUAUCGGCUUGUACUGUCUGGCUGGGCCUUACUUCUUGGUGAGCCGGUGUGCCCUUUAUUGGGUGCGCUGGUGAACCAGGACCUUUACCUUGAGAAAAUUAGAGUGUUCAAAGCAGGCCUAUGCCCGAAUACAUUAGCAUGGAAUAAUAAAAUAGGACGUGCGGUUCUAUUUUGUUGGUUUCUAGAGUCGCCGUAAUGAUUAAUAGGGAUAGUUGGG